rnacentral:rRNA from 1 species
GACGAACGCUGGCGGCGUGCUUAACACAUGCAAGUCGAGCGAGAAAGCACCUUCGGGUGUGAGUACAGCGGCGAACGGGUGAGUAACACGUGGGCAACCUGCCCCAGAGACUGGGAUAACGUCCCGACAGGGACGCUAAUACCGGACGAUGCGCGAUCUGCCAAGUAGGUCGCGCCAAAUGGUAGCUUCGGCUCCUGCUCUGGGAGGGGCCCGCGCCGGAUUAGCUGGUUGGUGAGGUAAGGGGUCGCAAAGGCGACGAUCCGUAGCUGGUCUGAGAGGACGAGCAGCCACACUGGGACUGAGACACGGCCCAGACUCCUACGGGAGGCAGCAGUGGGGAAUCUUGCGCAAUGGGCGAAAGCCUGACGCAGCAACGCCGCGUGAGCGAAGACGGCCCUCGGGUUGUAAAGCUCUGUCAGGAGGGACGAAGCCACUCAGGUGAAUAGCCGAGAGGGUGACGGUACCUCCAGAGGAAGCCCCGGCUAACUACGUGCCAGCCGCCGCAGUAAAAC